rnacentral:lncRNA from 1 species
UCGAUUCUGAUCGAAGGCCGCAUCACAUUGGACUUUCCAAAUAUCAAUCAGCUGAUCCUCUGAAAGUGAGCAAGAAUCCAACGGAGAAGAAGGCCCGAUCGCCGCGAGAGGUGGGAGAUGUUUAAAAGCAACCUGAAAACAUUGGUGAUGGGAGAGUUCUUGAUACUGGAAAAGCAGCAGAUUGCGGGCGUACCAAACUGACCACAACAGCGAUAGAAAAAGACGGUGAGCUUCAUCCGAGUCAAUACUCUGAAUCUCAGCGAUCCAGUGUGAUAAAGGUUGGGUUCUAUUAAUCACGCCCACAGAAAGUCUCAAGGGAGAGGCUGCCCAGAAGAAGGUCACCCAACCGCAAUCCCGGAGAGCGUGCUCAAGAGUUUCCUCAGCUUCGCCA